rnacentral:rRNA from 1 species
UGCUUAACACAUGCAAGUCGAACGGCAGCAUGGUCUAGCUUGCUAGACUGAUGGCGAGUGGCGAACGGGUGAGUAACGCGUAGGAAUAUGCCUUGAAGUGGGGGACAACUUGGGGAAACUCAAGCUAAUACCGCAUAAUAUCUAAGGAUGAAAGCUGGGGACCUUCGGGCCUGGCGCUUUAAGAUUAGCCUGCGUCCGAUUAGCUAGUUGGUGGGGUAAGGGCCUACCAAGGCGACGAUCGGUAGCUGGUCUGAGAGGAUGGCCAGCCACACUGGAACUGAGACACGGUCCAGACUCCUACGGGAGGCAGCAGUGGGGAAUAUUGGACAAUGGGGGCAACCCUGAUCCAGCAAUGCCGCGUGUGUGAAGAAGGCCUGAGGGUUGUAAAGCACUUUCAGUAGGGAGGAGGACAUUUCGGUUAAGAGCUAGAAUGUUGGACGUUACCUACAGAAGAAGCACCGGCUAACUCCGUGCCAGCAGCCGCGGUAAUACGGAGGGUGCAAGCGUUAAUCGGAAUUACUGGG